UACGUAGGGUCCGAGCGUUGUCCGGAAUUACUGGGCGUAAAGAGCUCGUAGGUGGUUUGUCGCGUUGUUCGUGAAAACUCACAGCUCAACUGUGGGCGUGCGGGCGAUACGGGCAGACUUGAGUACUGCAGGGGAGACUGGAAUUCCUGGUGUAGCGGUGGAAUGCGCAGAUAUCAGGAGGAACACCGGUGGCGAAGGCGGUUCUCUGGGCAUGAUCUGACGCUGAGGAGCAAAAGUGUGGGGAGCGAACAGG
rnacentral:rRNA from 1 species